AUUGAACGCUGGCGGCAGGCCUAACACAUGCAAGUCGAACGAGUGGCGGAAGGGUGAGUAAUGCUUGGGAAUCUCGCUUAUGGAGGGGGAUAACUACGGGAAACUGUAGAUAAUACAGCGUCCCAUAGGAUGAGCAAAAGUGGGAUUAGGUAGUUGGUGAGGUAAAGGCUCACAAAGCAGCCGAGCUCUAGCUGGUCUGAGAGGAUGACCAGCCACACUGGGACUGAGACACGGCCCAGACUCCUACGGGAGGCAGCAGUGGGGAAUAUUGCGCAAUGGGGGCAACCUGACGCAGCCAUGCCGCGUGAAGGAAGAAGGCCUUCGGGUUGUAAAGUUCUUUCGGUAGCGAGGCGUUAACUACAGAAGAAGCACCGGCUAACUCCGUGCCAGCAGCCGCGGUAAUAC
rnacentral:rRNA from 1 species